CACUUGGGUAGAUUUCUACCACGGGAGAGAGCGGAAAGCUUCUGGCAUGCUUUGGCAGCUAGUUUGCGAGUACGCGCUCUGUCUGAACCCUUGUCUUUUUGAGCACUCUUGUUUCCUCGGCAGGCUUGCCUGCCGGUCGGACAACUCAACCACCUUUUAAUUUCAAUCAGCGUCUGAAUCACUAUAAUAAUUA
rnacentral:misc_RNA from 1 species